AAACGCACGGUAAAUAGCUUGACAAAGCAAGUUGUUCAUAAGCCAUAUAAGAAGAUGUAUUACUUUCCUCUCACUCCAAGGUUACAACGGCUUUAUGCAUCAGACGCAACAGCACCCCAUAUGAGAUGGCAUGCUGAACAUGAAUAUGAGGAAGGGUUCAUGCAUCAUCCAUCUGAUUCUCCCGCAUGGAAACACUUCAAUGCAUGUUAUCCAUCAUUUGGAUCAGAGAUAAGGAAUGUGAUGCUUGGAUUGUCUACUGACGGAUUCCAACCAUUUGGACAAUCUGGCCAACAGUACUCAUCUUGGCCCAUCAUUCUGACACCAUAUAAUCUUCCGCCAUGGCUGUGUAUGAAGUCAGAAUAUAUGUUUCUCACUGUUAUAGUUCCGGGCCCAAAUAAUCCUAAAUUUAAAAUUGAUAUAUUCUUACAACCCUUAAUCGAAGAACUAAAACAAUUAUGGAACAUGGGGGUUGAGACAUAUGAUGUGGAUAAGAAGCAAAAUUUUCUCAUGCGGGUUGCUUUGCUAUGGACCAUUAGUGACUUUCCUGCUUAUGCCAUGCUUUCUGGUUGGAGCACUGCAGGAAGGCUUGCAUGCCCAUAUUGUAUGGAUAACACUGAUGCAUUUACUUUGCCAAGAGGUGGCAAACAAUGUUGGUUUGACAAUCAUCGCAAAUUUUUGAACCAUAACCAUCCAUGGCGGAAGAAUAAAUCAUGGUUUAGAAAAAACAAAGUUGUAACUGAACAUGCACCUCUAGUAAGGACUGGAGAGGAAAUUUUGCAUGAGAUAGAAAGUCUGGGAUUAAUGAGAGUGACAGAUCCAGGUUCAGAUGUUGUUAAUGCUGUUAUUAGUAAGACAUGUGGAUGCAGAAAACGCAGCAUAUUCUGGGAUUUACCUUAUUGGAGUUCCUUGCUUAUUAGACACAACCUUGAUGUAAUGCAUAUUGAAAAGAAUUUUUUUGAUAACUUGUUCAAUACCGUUAUGAAUAUAGAGGGUAAAACAAAAGAUAAUGCAAAAGCAAGAGAAGAUAUGAGGGAAAUAUGUCGGCGGCCUGAGUUGGAGGUUAAUGCAGAAACUGGCAGGUAUCCAAAAGCAAUAUAUGCAUUGGACAAACCGGCAAAACAAGUUAUUUGUGAAUGGAUGAAGGGACUCAGAUUUCCUGAUGGUUAUGUGUCUAACAUGGCUCGAUGUGUCGACAUGAACAAGUACAGAUUAUUUGGAAUGAAAAGUCAUGAUUGUCAUAUUUUCAUGCAAAGGUUGUUGCCUAUUGCUUUUCGUGAAUUAUUACCAAUGAGAGUGUGGGAAGCAAUUACCGAGCUAAGUAUUUUCUUUAAGCAACUAACGAGUACAAUCUUACGGGAGGAAGAUAUGCAAAGGCUUGAAGAGGACAUUCCGGUUAUACUAUGCAAAUUGGAGCGAAUAUUUCCUCCGGGUUUCUUCGACUCGAUGGAACAUCUUCCGGUUCAUCUUGCAUAUGAAGCUCGCAUUGGGGGUCCAGUGCAAUAUCGUUGGAUGUAUCCUUAUGAGCGGUAAUAAUUAAUCACUGCUGCUUCAUCAAAAUAUCAAUUAUUUAAUAUGCUUAAUUUGUAUGAUAAUUAAUUAUGUAAUACAUGUACAAUGGAAUUUUAAAGAAGAAUAUUAAAAAUAAAGCCAAAGUUGAAGGAUCAAUUGCUAAUGCAUACUUGGUAGAGGAGGCAUCUUCUUUUUGUGCUUACUAUUUUGAGUCACAUGUUUCUACAAGACAUCGACGGGUUCCACGUAAUGAUGAUGGUGGUGUAGUGGAAGAUAAGGAGAUUGAAGGAAAUUUAUCAAUAUUCAAAUAUCCGGGUAGACCCAUAGGUCAAUCAAAGAAAAGGUUAUUGAAAAAGGAUGAAAGAAAUGCAGCUCAUUUAUAUAUCCUACUAAAUUGUGAAGAAGUUUCGCCAUUUAUCAAGUAAGUGAAAUUCACCGCCAAAUUAUAAAUUUAAUAGUCUUCUAAAAUGCAUAUAUAUUCAUGAAAAUAACCAAAGUUGUAUAAUUUCUCCUAAUGCAAGAUUAUAUAUUGAGGAACUACGGAGGAUAUCACCUAACAUUACCGAUGGAGAGGUAGACAUCACAUUGGAGAAUAACUUUUCCACAUGGUUCAGAGCAUACGUACAUGAACCAACCAAUACAGUGAACAAUCCUCUAAUCCAAGAUUUAGCCAAAGGACCUCUAAAUACAGUGAAUGUGUACACAGGAUACUAUGUAAAUGGAUACAAAUUUCACACUGAGGGACGAAGUGCUAAUCGAAUGACGGUGAAUUGUGGUGUAUGCAUUAAAGGAACGAACUAUAGUGAUCAAUCAAGUGAUUACUAUGGUAAGUUGAUAGAGGUUCUUGAAGUAGAAUACCCGGCUUUACCUAUGAAGCGGACAGUUCUAUUCCACUGUGAAUGGUUUGAUCCUACCCCAAAUGUUGGAGUGAAAAUUCAUUUAAUGUAUAAUAUUGUGGAUGUAAAUCAAAGAAAGAGAUUUCAUAAGUAUGAGCCAUUUGUUUUGGCUAGCCAGGCACAACAAGUUUAUUACAUUCCUUAUCCUUCUUUAAGACGAGCAAGGUCUGAUUGGCAAUCUGUGAUAAAAAUUAAAGUCAGGGCAGUGAUUGAAU